CUACGUGCCAGCAGCCGCGGUAAUACGUAGGGCGCGAGCGUUGUCCGGAAUUAUUGGGCGUAAAGGGCUUGUAGGCGGUUGGUCGCGUCUGCCGUGAAAUCCUCUGGCUUAACUGGGGGCGUGCGGUGGGUACGGGCUGACUUGAGUGCGGUAGGGGAGACUGGAACUCCUGGUGUAGCGGUGGAAUGCGCAGAUAUCAGGAAGAACACCGGUGGCGAAGGCGGGUCUCUGGGCCGUUACUGACGCUGAGGAGCGAAAGCGUGGGGAGCGAACAGGAUUAGAUACCCUGGUAGUCCACGCUGUAAACGUUGGGCACUAGAUGUGGGGGCCACCCGUGGUUUCUGCGCCGUAGCUAACGCUUUAAGUGCCCCGCCUGGGGAGUACGGCCGCAAGGCUAAAACUCAAAGAAAUUGACGGGGGCCCGCACAAGCGGCGGAGCAUGCGGAUUAAUUCGAUGCAACGCGAAGAACCUUACCAAGGCUUGACAU
rnacentral:rRNA from 1 species